rnacentral:tRNA from 1 species
GGGCGCAUAGCUCAGUUGGUACGAGCGCAGCGUUGACAUCGCUGAGGUCUCAGGUUCGAUCCCUGAUGCGCCCA